UACGGACCGGACAAACGUUAUUCGGAAUCACUGGGCUUAAAGAGUACGUAGGCGGCUCAGAAAGUUGGAUGUGAAAUCCCUCGGCUCAACCGAGGAAUGGCGUUCAAAACUACUGGGCUUGAGGAAGGUAGGGGUGAGCGGAACUGAUGGUGGAGCGGUGAAAUGCGUUGAUAUCAUCAGGAACACCAGUGGCGAAGGCGGCUCACUGGGCCUUUUCUGACGCUGAGGUACGAAAGCUAGGGUAGCGAACGGG
rnacentral:rRNA from 1 species